rnacentral:misc_RNA from 1 species
GUAGGUGAACCUGCGGAAGGAUCAUUCACAAUAAGUGUUUUAUUGCACUUUUUAAACAAUCCAUAUCCACCUUGUGUGCAACGUUAUGAGACCCCCUAUCGUUAUCUUCUAGGUUACGGCACCCGGAACCUCUACAACUUACCAACCUCACCUUUAACUUAUUCGUCUGAACAUUUAUUAACAUAAAUUAACUUAAUUCGAAAUUACAACUUUCAACAAUGGAUCUCUUGGCUCUC